ACUUCGACUCGACCUCACUCUCUCGCUCCUUCUCUCGACUUUGACACAACCUUGCCUCAGAGUCUCAGACAACCUCACCACCACCCUCAUCGACCUCACCUCAGACAACCUCACCAGUCACCUCAGAAUCCGGCCACACCCUCAAACCCUCUGAUCUCUAUCUCAACUUCUCAUCCCUCAAACCCUCACUGUGGAAGAGCCUUCCUUCACGGCACAGAGGUCGAGCUACGGCCACCGGCGCCACUCACCUUUCUGAUCUCUCUCUCAACUUCUUCAUCCAGAUUCCAGUGCACUGUGCACCGAUUCCCCCCAAAUUAGGUUGAGGACAUCCAAAAGAAAGUUUGAGGAGCUAAUAAGGUGCCAUAACGACAGGGUUUCCAUUCGGUAAUUUGCGUCAGCUGUGUCUUCACUUUACAUUAUAGCGAUAACUUCCCGUUCGUGACUUGGUCUGCACUAGCAGUUUAGAGUACAUAUUUCCAAAUUAUGCUUUCAUUUUCUAUAUACCUGCUUGAUUCUUUAGUUAACCUCUGGGAAUCCCAGCUCGUAUUCCUGGGAAGUCCCUGGUUUGCUUGCGACUUGGGUUCAAUUACUUGAUAAUUACUUAAUUGGGUAUAUGAAGAAACAGUUGUUAAUUACUUGCUUGGUAGUUCUGAUUCUUGAAGAUGGUCUUGGGGCAUCAAUUUGUUCAGUCUAGAUUGCUACUCAAGGGAAUUACUAUUUUUGUACUCUGUUUUUAGGGUAUUUUGUAUAGGAAAUGGUGGUUGUGAUGAAGCCAAUUGAACUACUACUCUUCUUGUGAUGAACAUAUUUUAGUGGAUGUUUUUGCAGAGAAAUUGAUGUGAAAUUACGUGGUUUAUGGCUAAAUUUCAUUUACUUGGA